CAGUAGCCGCGGUAAUACGUAGGGCGCAAGCGUUGUCCGGAAUUAUUGGGCGUAAAGAGCUCGUAGGCGGUCUGUCGCGUCUGGUGUGAAAUCCCGAGGCUCAACCUCGGGCUUGCAUCGGGUACGGGCAGACUAGAGUGCGGUAGGGGAGACUGGAAUUCCUGGUGUAGCGGUGGAAUGCGCAGAUAUCAGGAGGAACACCGAUGGCGAAGGCAGGUCUCUGGGCCGCAACUGACGCUGAGGUACGAAAGCAUGGGGAGCAAACAGGAUUAGAUACCCCCGUAGUCCCUGUCUCUUAUAC
rnacentral:rRNA from 1 species